AUUGAACGCCGGCGGCGGGCUUAACACAUGCAAGUCGAGCGGAGAUGAGGUGCUUGCACCUUAUCUUAGCGGCGGACGGGUGAGUAAUGCUUAGGAAUCUGCCUAUUAGUGGGGGACAACAUUCCGAAAGGAAUGCUAAUACCGCAUACGCCCUACGGGGGAAAGCAGGGGAUCUUCGGACCUUGCGCUAAUAGAUGAGCCUAAGUCGGAUUAGCUAGUUGGUGGGGUAAAGGCCUACCAAGGCGACGAUCUGUAGCGGGUCUGAGAGGAUGAUGCGCCACACUGGGACUGAGACACGGCCCAGACUCCUACGGGAGGCAGCAGUGGGGAAUAUUGGACAAUGGGCGGAAGCCUGAUCCAGCCAUGCCGCGUGUGUGAAGAAGGCCUUUUGGUUGUAAAGCACUUUAAGCGAGGAGGAGGCUACCUGGAUUAAUACUCUAGGAUAGUGGACGUUACUCGCAGAAUAAGCACCGGCUAACUCUGUGCCAGCCGCCGCUGUAACAC
rnacentral:rRNA from 1 species